rnacentral:rRNA from 1 species
ACGGAAGGCAGCAGUGGGGAAUAUUGCACAAUGGGCGAAAGCCUGAUGCAGCGACGCCGCGUGAGUGAAGAAGUAUCUCGGUAUGUAAAGCUCUAUCAGCAGGGAAGAAAAUGACGGUACCUGACUAAGAAGCCCCGGCUAACUACGUGCCAGCAGCCGCGGUAAUACGUAGGGGGCAAGCGUUAUCCGGAUUUACUGGGUGUAAAGGGAGCGUAGACGGUUUGGCAAGUCUGAAGUGAAAUGCGGGGGCUCAACUCCUGAACUGCUUUGGAAACUGUCGAACUAGAGUGCAGGAGGGGUAAGUGGAAUUCCUAGUGUAGCGGUGAAAUGCGUAGAUAUUAGGAGGAACACCAGUGGCGAAGGCGGCUUACUGGACUGUAACUGACGUUGAGGCUCGAAAGCGUGGGGAGCAAACAGGAUUAGAUACCCUGGUA